rnacentral:lncRNA from 1 species
GCUAGGUGCACAAAACUUAGUCAUUGGCUUGCUUUUCCUGGACUCCAAAAAACCUCAUCAUGAUAUUGUCCCCAUGGUCGCACAGUUGGGAGAUCUUGUCUAAUUAAGUUGUUAUUGUCAAAUGAUCUAAUCUGUAGUUCAAUGUCUACCAAAUUUGAUUCCGGGCAGUAGAUAUUGAUGCAGAUGUGGUGAAGACAACUUGGGCUGUAAGAAAGCCCAAUAGUGUGUAACAAAAAGGAGAGCCUAAAAUAUUGGUGGACCAUUGCCAUAACAUCUAGUGGACCAGG